rnacentral:rRNA from 1 species
UACGUAGGGUGCAAGCGUUGUCCGGAAUUAUUGGGCGUAAAGAGCUCGUAGGCGGUCUGUUGCGUCGGCUGUGAAAACCCGGGGCUCAACUCCGGGCCUGCAUUCGAUACGGGCAGACUAGAGUUCGGUAGGGGAGUCUGGAAUUCCUGGUGUAGCGGUGAAAUGCGCAGAUAUCAGGAGGAACACCGGUGGCGAAGGCGGGACUCUGGGCCGAUACUGACGCUGAGGAGCGAAAGCGUGGGGAGCGAACAGG